UACGGGGGGGGCAAGCGUUGUUCGGAAUUACUGGGCGUAAAGGGCUCGUAGGCGGCCAUCUUAGUCUGACGUGAAAUCCCUCGGCUUAACCGGGGAACUGCGUCGGAUACUGGAUGGCUCGAAUCCGGGAGAGGGAUGCGGAAUUCCAGGUGUAGCGGUGAAAUGCGUAGAUAUCUGGAGGAACACCGGUGGCGAAGGCGGCAUCCUGGACCGGUAUUGACGCUGAACGGCGAAAGCUAGGGGAGCAAACGGG
rnacentral:rRNA from 1 species